rfam:Cephalotus follicularis DNA, scaffold: scaffold630, isolate: St1.
AAACCAUGAUGAGGACACUCUAAAACAAGGUCUUUGAAACGUUCCAUACACCUAGAAAAUGAUUCACUGGGUUUUUGACGAAACUAGAGAAUGUCGUUCCUAAGUUU